rnacentral:rRNA from 1 species
ACCUGCCCUUAAGUGGGGGAUAACAUUUGGAAACAGAUGCUAAUACCGCAUAGAUCCAAGAACCGCAKGGUUCUUGGCUGAAAGAUGGCGUAAGCUAUCGCUUUUGGAUGGACCCGCGGCGUAUUAGCUAGUUGGUGAGGUAAUGGCUCACCAAGGCGAUGAUACGUAGCCGAACUGAGAGGUUGAUCGGMCACAUUGGGACUGAGACACGGCCCAAACUCCUACGGGAGGCAGCAGUAGGGAAUCUUCCACAAUGGACGCAAGUCUGAUGGAGCAACGCCGCGUGAGUGAAGAAGGCUUUCGGGUCGUAAAACUCUGUUGUUGGAGAAGAAUGGUCGGCAGAGUAACUGUUGYCGGCGUGACGGUAUCCAACCAGAAAGCCACGGCUAACUACGUGCCAGCAGCCGCGGUAAUACGUAGGUGGCAAGCGUUAUCCGGAUUUAUUGGGCGUAAAGCGAGCGCAGGCGGUUUUUUAAGUCUGAUGUGAAAGCCCUCGGCUUAACCGAGGAAGCGCAUCGGAAACUGGGAAACUUGAGUGCAGAAGAGGACAGUGGAACUCCAUGUGUAGCGGUGAAAUGCGUAGAUAUAUGGAAGAACACCAGUGGCGAAGGCGGCUGUCUGGUCUGUAACUGACGCUGAGGCUCGAAAGCAUGGGUAGCGAACAGGAUUAGAUACCCUGGUAGUCCAUGCCGUAAACGAUGAAUGCUAGGUGUUGGAGGGUUUCCGCCCUUCAGUGCCGCAGCUAACGCAUUAAGCAUUCCGCCUGGGGAGUACGACCGCAAGGUUGAAACUCAAAGGAAUUGACGGGGGCCCGCACAAGCGGUGGAGCAUGUGGUUUAAUUCGAAGCAACGCGAAGAACCUUACCAGGUCUUGACAUCUUUUGAUCACCUGAGAGAUCAGGUUUCCCCUUCGGGGGCAAAAUGACAGGUGGUGCAUGGUUGUCGUCAGCUCGUGUCGUGAGAUGUUGGGUUAAGUCCCGCAACGAGCGCAACCCUUAUGACUAGUUGCCAGCAUUUAGUUGGGCACUCUAGUAAGACUG